rnacentral:rRNA from 1 species
UAUAGCGGCGGACGGGUGAGUAAUGCUUAGGAAUCUGCCUAUUAGUGGGGGACAACAUUCCGAAAGGAAUGCUAAUACCGCAUACGCCCUACGGGGGAAAGCAGGGGAUCUUCGGACCUUGCGCUAAUAGAUGAGCCUAAGUCAGAUUAGCUAGUUGGUGGGGUAAAGGCCUACCAAGGCGACGAUCUGUAGCGGGUCUGAGAGGAUGAUCCGCCACACUGGGACUGAGACACGGCCCAGACUCCUACGGGAGGCAGCAGUGGGGAAUAUUGGACAAUGGGCGAAAGCCUGAUCCAGCCAUGCCGCGUGUGUGAAGAAGGCCUUUUGGUUGUAAAGCACUUUAAGCGAGGAGGAGGCUACUGGGAUUAAUACUCUAGGAUAGUGGACGUUACUCGCAGAAUAAGCACCGGCUAACUCUGUGCCAGCAGCCGCGGUAAUACAGAGGGUGCGAGCGUUAAUCGGAUUUACUGGGCGUAAAGCGUGCGUAGGCGGCUUUUUAAGUCGGAUGUGAAAUCCCUGAGCUUAACUUAGGAAUUGCAUUCGAUACUGGGAAGCUAGAGUAUGGGAGAGGAUGGUAGAAUUCCAGGUGU